rnacentral:rRNA from 69 species
UAAACGACUCUCGGCAACGGAUAUCUCGGCUCUCGCAUCGAUGAAGAACGUAGCGAAAUGCGAUACUUGGUGUGAAUUGCAGAAUCCCGCGAACCAUCGAGUCUUUGAACGCAAGUUGCGCCCGAAGCCAUUAGGUUGAGGGCACGUCUGCCUGGGCGUCUCAC